UACGAAGGGAGCUAGCGUUGUUCGGCAUCACUGGGCGUAAAGCGCACGUAGGCGGAUGUGUCAGUCAGGGGUGAAAUCCCGGAGCUCAACUUCGGAACUGCCUUUGAUACAGCACAUCUGGAGUCCGGAAGAGGUGGGUGGAAUUCCUAGUGUAGAGGUGAAAUUCGUAGAUAUUCGCAAGAACACCAGUGGCGAAGGCGGCUCACUGGCCCGGUACUGACGCUGAGGUGCGAAAGCGUGGGGAGCAAACAGG
rnacentral:rRNA from 1 species